CCUACGGGAGGCAGCAGUGGGGAAUAUUGGACAAUGGGGGGAACCCUGAUCCAGCGAAGCCGCGUGAGUGAAGAAGUAUUUCGGUAUGUAAAGCUCUAUCAGCCGGGAAGAAAGAAAUGACGGUACCUGACUAAGAAGCCCCGGCUAACUACGUGCCAGCAGCCGCGGUAAUACGUAGGGGGCACGCGUUAUCCGGAUUUACUGGGGGUAAAGGGAGCGUAGACGGCAAUGCAAGCCAGGAGUGAAAGCCCGGGGCCCAACCCCGGGACUGCUCUUGGAACUGCAUGGCUGGAGUACAGGAGGGGCAGGCGGAAUUCCUAGUGUAGCGGUGAAAUGCGUAGAUAUUAGGAGGAACACCAGUGGCGAAGGCGGCUUACUGGACUGUAACUGACGUUGAGGCUCGAAAGCGUGGGGAGCAAACAGGAUUAGAUACCCCUGUAGUC
rnacentral:rRNA from 1 species